GUCUUUGAGAAGAAAGUAUUAGAGCAUGCAGCAAGUUUUAAAACUGCUCAACAAAGAUGGGUUUAUUUUCUGUGUGUUUUUUUUACAACAGAGACCUGUGACAGUGGCCAAAAGAGGCAGCAUGAUUCAGCUCCAGCACAUGGAUAUGACUAAGGUAGUGUUAAAAUAUUCCCCAAGAAGAUGAGAGGAAAAGGAUGAUUUCUCCCACAGAAUAGAGAGGAUCUCUCAUAUCACUGAAAAACAUUUAAUUAUUUUCUCCAAGUUUUUUUUAUGAGAACUGGGGUUCAUUUACCAGAUUUCAAUGCGUAAAAUUUAGCUCACCUACCUGAAACCUACAUUGGUAUUGAUAUCACAUGGUAUAAAAAAAUACAUUAAACCUCAAUUUCCAGCAGUA